rnacentral:lncRNA from 1 species
GUUUGUUGUUAGUCUAAAAAAAAAGAAAAACAUAGGUCCCGUAGAAUUCACACGAAAGAUUAUGUCCCCAUAUUAAUAUAUGACUAUAACUCGUAAAAUUAUAAAAAAAAAAAUAAACAACUUUACUAAUAUAUGAGUAAAAAUAUAAGACUCGUAGAUAUAUCCAUAAAAAUUAGGUUCCCGUAUUAAUUUGAAUAUAACCCGUAAAAUUAUUUAAAAAAAAUAGGCAACAUAAUAUUUUAGUCCUUUUUUUUCUCCAAUAAUUUUCUUCCGCAUAGAAAAAUCUCAUAAGAACGAAAGUCAUAUCUUUCUUAUUAUAUCUUUCUUGUGUGAUUUAUUUAUGGUUUUGUUUCUCUGACUCUUUGUAAACUUUUGUAGUCUACCUCGGUACGUCUUGUGUUGGAGAGGUUUUCUAUGUUACUAUAUCUCAUUUUGGUUUGUUAAAAAAAAUAUUAGUCCUUAUAUCAAAAACAAAAAAUCUUU